AUUUGACCAGCCUGAAGUCCACUUUUUGGGUUACAACAUCUCUGCAUCGGGAUUUCAAAUGGAUCCAAAAAACUAGAGGCUGUACUACACUGGCCAUUACCUUCUGGUUUAAAAGCCAUUCAAAGGUUUAUUGGUUUUGCCAACUAUUACAGAAGAUUCAUCAAGGGAUUUUCUUCUGUAAUAGCCCCAAUCACAAAUAUGACUCGCAAAGGGGUUAGUAGCACGGUAUGGUCCAAAGAGGCUGUGAAUGCUUUUGAGACACUUAAACAAAGACUUGCCUCUGCGGACAUACUAAAACAUCCUGACACUAGUAAACCUUUUAUAUUGGAGGUUGAUGCAUCCGAGACAGGGGUAGGGGCUGUUCUCUCUCAGAGAGAAAGCCAGGGAACACCAUUGCAUCCUUGUGGCUACUUUUCCAGAAAGAUGUCUCCUGCUGAGCGCAACUACGAUAUUGGCAAUAAUGUUGACCAUUAUUCUUGCCCUCAAGGAGUGGCGACAUCUUUUGGAGGGUUCCAAGGACCCCCUGUUGAUCAUAACCGACCACAAAGAUCUGGCAUAUAUAGGGGAUGCCAAACGUUUGUCUUCCAGACAGGCUAGAUGGUCACUGUUCCUUUCACGUUUUAACUUUCUCAUUACUUAUAGACCUGGUUCUAAA